rnacentral:miRNA from 1 species
GCUUGUCGCUGCGGUGUUGCU